rnacentral:rRNA from 1 species
UACGAAGGGGGCUAGCGUUGCUCGGAAUCACUGGGCGUAAAGCGCUCGUAGGCGGAUUGUUAAGUCGGGGGUGAAAUCCUGGAGCUCAACUCCAGAACUGCCUUCGAUACUGGCAAUCUUGAGUCCGGGAGAGGUGAGUGGAACUCCGAGUGUAGAGGUGAAAUUCGUAGAUAUUCGGAAGAACACCAGUGGCGAAGGCGGCUCACUGGCCCGGUACUGACGCUGAGGAGCGAAAGCGUGGGUAGCAAACAGG